ACUCCUACGGGAGGCAGCAGUGGGGAAUAUUGCACAAUGGGCGAAAGCCUGAUGCAGCAACGCCGCGUGAGGGACGACGGCCUUCGGGUUGUAAACCUCUUUUAGUAGGGAAGAAGCGAAAGUGACGGUACCUGCAGAAAAAGCACCGGCUAACUACGUGCCAGCAGCCGCGGUAAUACGUAGGGUGCAAGCGUUAUCCGGAAUUAUUGGGCGUAAAGAGCUCGUAGGCGGUUUGUCGCGUCUGCUGUGAAAACUGGAGGCUCAACCUCCAGCCUGCAGUGGGUACGGGCAGACUAGAGUGCGGUAGGGGAGAUUGGAAUUCCUGGUGUAGCGGUGGAAUGCGCAGAUAUCAGGAGGAACACCAAUGGCGAAGGCAGAUCUCUGGGCCGUAACUGACGCUGAGGAGCGAAAGCAUGGGGAGCGAACAGGAUUAGAUACCCUGGUAGUCCAUGCCGUAAACGUUGGGAACUAGAUGUAGGGGCCAUUCCACGGUUUCUGUGUCGCAGCUAACGCAUUAAGUUCCCCGCCUGGGGAGUACGGCCGCAAGGCUAAAACUCAAAGGAAUUGACGGGGGCCCGCACAAGCGGCGGAGCAUGCGGAUUAAUUCGAUGCAACGCGAAGAACCUUACCAAGGCUUGACAUAUACCGGAAAAGUGCAGAAAUGUGCUCCCCGCAAGGUCGGUAUACAGGUGGUGCAUGGUUGUCGUCAGCUCGUGUCGUGAGAUGUUGGGUUAAGUCCCGCAACGAGCGCAACCCUCGUUCUAUGUUGCCAGCACGUUAUGGUGGGAACUCAUAGGAGACUGCCGGGGUCAACUCGGA
rnacentral:rRNA from 1 species